rnacentral:lncRNA from 1 species
AACCUGAAGUUCAUUGCCAGGAGUAUGAUGGCACAGGAAGGGAAUGUGGAAGGCACAUACAGGACCCUAAAGAGAGUCCUCACCGUGGAUGAACUCAUUAAGGACAUUAAGCAUUGGUAGUACUAUGAGAAGCUAUGCUGACAGUGACAGCAGGAGAGUUCUGAAACCUGCCAGCAAAUCCACAAAAUGGAAAUGGCUCGCAGGAUCAUCAACUUCUUGAUGCCAAAGAAUCGGGCAGAUCUGCGGUGGGGCUGCUG